rnacentral:precursor_RNA from 9 species
GAUGGAAUUUGGAUGGUUGACCCCACUGGAGAGGUGUUUCAUAGGCGCUACAGUGGAAGUGACGUGGCGCCGUGGAAACAUCUACCUAGUGCGGUUGUAAAUUCUACAGAUCCAGA